AUACGGAGGGUGCAAGCGUUAAUCGGAAUUACUGGGCGUAAAGCGCACGCAGGCGGUUUGUUAAGUCAGAUGUGAAAUCCCCGGGCUCAACCUGGGAACUGCAUCUGAUACUGGCAAGCUUGAGUCUCGUAGAGGGGGGUAGAAUUCCAGGUGUAGCGGUGAAAUGCGUAGAGAUCUGGAGGAAUACCGGUGGCGAAGGCGGCCCCCUGGACGAAGACUGACGCUCAGGUGCGAAAGCGUGGGGAGCAAACAGGAUUAGAUACCCGGGUAGUCCACGCCGUAAACGAUGUCGACUUGGAGGUUGUGCCCUUGAGGCGUGGCUUCCGGAGCUAACGCGUUAAGUCGACCGCCUGGGGAGUACGGCCGCAAGGUUAAAACUCAAAUGAAUUGACGGGG
rnacentral:rRNA from 1 species